AGAACAUGGCUAGAGUCAGCUGGCAAAUCUUGCGGUUGCUGACUUGGAGAAUUAUCCUUCUGCCAUCUUAAAAGCAGUUUUAAGCUUCUGAAGUCCUUAUCAUGCAACACUUUCCAACAUAACAUUAGGAUUACAGUUCACUGGAAUUCCUGACAUAAAUGGAUUAUUUAUGUCUAGAAAUAAUUCCAGGAAUGUAUUCCCUUCAAAACUGGAGUUUGCUGCUUUAUCUUUUUUUUUUUUUUUUUUUUUUUUAAUUUUGAUCAAGUCUCUGGUUCUUUCCCAAACUCGGAAUUCUAUCAUUUAUAUAUGUGUGUGUGUAUGUGUGUGUAUGAUGACAUAGCUCUCUUUCCUUAAAACAGUGGUUAUGGAAUAUAACUACGUAUGGAAUAUAUGGUUAUUCCAACUCCACAUAUAUUUUGGGAAGCAAAAAAUACCAAACUUCCUGAAUAAUUAAGCAGAACAUUUUAAAAAUAUAUCUAAUAUCUGUAUGAACAGUUUUAGUUGGAUGUGAAUCUAUGUUUUAGCUACUACCCAAGGAAAUAGUUAACAUCAAAGAGUGUAUGGAUAAGUUCUAUAUAAGUAUUUUUCACCAAGAUAGAGCUUUAUACAAAACUAAGGUAUGAAAUACAGAACUCCUUUGAGGAAAGCACGCUCAGGAGUGCUGACCUGAAUUAAGUUAAGCCAUGUUAUAUGAAUAUGAAGAAGAGAAAUCUGCAGAAUUAAACUGAAUUAAAUUAGAUUAUGAACGAUUACAUACAAUUCCCUUCUGAAGACAAGUGACAUGACCAAAAUAAUGCUCUCUAUUUUAAAUAAUCAUGUGUAGAUUAAAUAUAGUUUAAUGCAAUCCAUUCAAAAAGUUACUAUGCAGUUGGUGGGGGGUUUGCUUGUUUUUCUGGGGUUUCACACUAUUACUGUAUUUUCUGCCAUUACUUGACAUCCCUCUUUUGCUUAGGAUAGCCAGAGAUGAGCAUUUCUGUGAAUAAAACAAGAAGAUCUAUUGCACAUUUUUGUAGCUAGCUUGCAUAUGAACGAGGAUUUCCACCAAAGAGGAAAUAACUAGAGCAACAUUUAAACGUUAACAUGGUAUUGAAGAACUCCAAACAGAAUUAGGAAAUGAAAAGGUUGGGAUUCUCAGAGCAAUAUCAAGUUACCAUUAAGUAUGCAGAUCUUACUUGCAGACCACAUGUAAAAUUCACAAUACUCUGUGUAUGCAGUACUGUUUUGCUCUGUGAAGCAAAAAUGUCAAGUAUGCACAAGCUGUUUAUUUUAAAAGAUCAUCUAAUAUUAUCAGCGUCAAAUUUUAUAUGUAGUCCCAUCUUAUUCCUGGUUUUUGAGGUGCCAUUGUCACAAAACAAAGCUAGACAAAAUUUGUACCAUUCUACGUCAUUUAAAAGAAAAUGCCUGUGGUGAAGUAACUGAGACACAAUUAAAAUGUGCUAAGCUUUACACUAUAAAAAGGGAAAAUAUAUUUAGUACUUGCCGUCUGAAAGAGUUUCAUGAGCACAGAAAAAUGGCUGUUUGGGGACAUGACUGUUGAUUUCUGCAAAAUGUGAAAAGCAAGUCAGUGAGAGCUAUAAUGUAAAUUUGAAACUAGGAACUUGCCAAAGAAGGCCUCGAAGGAAUUGACUGCUUUGUUCCUAGUCACCUUUCAGCUGCUGGUUCUUGGGCUCACCUGUGAUUUGAUGCUACAUGUAUUUUAGGUAAGCUUUAGUGCUUUAAAGAAUUUAAAUCCAUUUAGCAAGAUUCACAAUCCUAACAGUUGAAGAGAAAACUAUUAUUUUUAAAACUUCACUAUGACUGAUCCCUUGCUCCUGCUUUUUCUUGCUAUCUUGCACAUCCUGAUGCCAGUUAGCAAGGCCUGUUCCACGCAGCAUAGUAAACUUCCUGAUUCUGUAAAUGCAAAGAGAAUGACAGUUCCAUCACUGUUGUACAAAUGGGGCAGUUCGUGGUAUAUGGUGUAUUAAUUUUGUGGUGGCAUCUCAUAUCCAGUUAGAGCUUUCUCUCCUUUAUAUGUAGGAACAAUUUUCUUUAUAUGUGUUAUUUUAAAGCAUGGAGCCCCUCUAUGUGUUAAGGAUGAUAUGAACUUUAUUAGUUACAGGAGCUGUAGACAAGAAUUUUUUUACUCUGUGCAAUUCGGUAAAUAAAGCAUCAUCACUGGGAAUUUGUUUUAUUUUAAACCAAGGAAGCAAUUUAUGUAUUUGGAUCAGGACAUCUUCCUUGGUUUAAAAUGAAACAAAAAAGAACAAUCAAGGCUUAAAACUGCCAAACUGACUGGUGUCCUAAUUUUCAAUAUGUACAAUGGAAAUUUUGUGACAUUUCUAUAUGUGUUUGAAGAUUCAGUGAACUCUGCAAGUUAAGCAUCAAUAUUUUGCCUGAGCACUGCAUGUUUACAAGGUACUGGGACUUCAUUACAGCAGCUACCUUCAGCUUCAGGCUCAAUUGUUUUCUUAGCUUUUUCUGAUAAUGAGUCUGCAGGUCUUCUGUUGCAGAUGUCCUGACCAUGUCUUGUUUUGUCUGUAACUGAUCACUUUUAAGGAAAUAUAAAACCUGUAGAAUCAUAAACUCCUUCUUAGUUUUAGGAAAAAGUAUUCUUAAACCAGUAAUUGAUACUGCAAAGAGGAGUAAGCUUAAGUCUUUAAAAUUACAGGAUAUAUAAAUUGUUCUAAAUUGUUUAUAUAACAUAAUAACCAUGGCAUUUGUGUUUUCUAAAUGUGGUGGAAAAUAGGCCUACAUAGAAAACUUAAUAACAUGCUUGUCAUGACGGCCCAGAUUAGAGAAUGCAUUUAAACUCUUGCCUUGUAUUGAGAUGAGAGUCCUUGCUUCUCACUGGAAAUCAAAUAGCAGCUAGUGGCUAAACAAGAGCAGCUAAGCAAACAUUUUACUGAACAUUGCCCUGCAUGUUGUGCACUUACACUCCAUGCAUACUCCUUGGCAAAUGACUCUUACGUUUUUUGACUGAUUUGGAAGUACCUUGUUUAUUUCAGGUGUGUCAAAUCAUGAUGCUAGUGCUGACAGGUGUCUGGUUCAAUUACUCCUCAUCCCAAUCACACUGCAAAGCAAAAGUAAAGAUGGGAGACAGUCCAAGAGGAACAGAAAGAUACUGUUGAUACUUUUUGAUCUGACAUGUUUUAAACUACCACCAGAUUUCUGGUAUUCACUUGUUUGCUACUGAUAAAUUAUCUAGCUAAUCCAGAUGUUCCCCAUCCCUCAGUAUUUACAGGAUUCUUUUGUCUCUCAAGAAUACAUUGAACUUCCUAGUUCCAAAGCAGUCUUGAUGACAUUUAAGUUGUUUAAAGAUACGUAGCUCUUGGGCUGAUGACCCCAGAACAGGCAAGGGCUACAUUCUACUCACUUUUCCUUUGAUGGACACAUAACUUAGGGGUUUUAUCUUCUGGCAAGUGUCCAGUUGCCAUUAAACUCUUCACAGCUGAGGAAGCAGACAUGAACAGAAAGGCUGUGAAAAGUAGACCAGACAAAUGGGGUGUUAUAGAACAAGACAAUAAGAGGUGAACAAAUAAACAGUUUUUGGAACAACAUUCACAACAACACAAGCUGAAGAAAACAUUGGUAAACAGGAAGCAUUGGUUGUGAAAAGGAACUAAGAGCAGAUGGAAGGACAUGAAAGAGAAGAAAGUCAGCCAAGCCUCUAAAAAUGGGAACAAAGGCACUGCAUGUUUCUAAACAAAUACUUCAGUAAUAAGGCUAUUUUGUUUCUUCUACGAAGACAAUGAUGAUAAAAGAAGUUGAUUGUGUACUACUUGGACAUCCAGUACCUGAAGGAACUUGUAAGGGAUGUAUUCCAGGCCGACCCUGUGUCCCAGUCCAACAUUUAAGAAAAUGUGGUAUAACUUCAGGACAUAGAAUCAGAGUGGUUUGGGUUGGAAAGGACCUUAAGAUCAUAUAGUUCCAAGCCCCCUGCCAUGGGCAGGGGCACUUCAACCUAGACCGUGUCGCCCAAGGCUCUGGCCAACAUUUGCCAAGUACAGCAAUCAGGUAAAUUCAGGCAGUUGACUUACUGCUGGAAAGCAGCUCUUCAGUUCUGGUUAUUCUGAUACCUUCACAGUGUAUCAGGUAUGUGUUUUCUUUCCUUAUUUUUCUCCAGGAGUCAGUGCCACAGAAGAACCCAGUCUGGGACUUGUGCUGGGUUGCAGAACACCAAGGUGCAGCUCCUCAGCUCUGCUGUAGCCAUCCUAUAACACCCUGAACAGAUCACCCUGUCAUCUCUAACAAUGGGAAAAUAAUUUUCACCAUUCUUUAUUAGUUCAUUCAUUCAGUGGGGCAGUAAAUAUAUCGUAUAGCUUAAUUGUCACAAGCUUAAUGCAGCAGGAUCCUAAUUUUGUAGGACUUUGCUUAGAUACCAAGAGACCCUUUUACUUCUAUAUUCAUCAUCAUUACUACUGAUUUUCCUAACAGCUAAAUGCAGAAUAUGUAUAAAUUUCACCAGGUAGGUGGUAAAUGCUUUCUCAUUUCUCUGUAAAAAUAACUGCUCUUACUAAACAGAAAGUGUUAAUUGAACUGACUUCUUCUGUUACUACAAAAAUACAGCUUUGCAACUGUUUAGUCAGUAUUAAAUAUACUGUUACAUUGUUCACAAAAUCACUACUUUCACCUGCUAACAGGAAAGUGGUAACUCGAUUUACAUUAACCAUACUUUAGACCAUUCUAGCACUUUCCAUCAACAUUUUAACAUUUUGCAUUAAUGUACUCUGUCAUCUUCCUGCAUAUACAGGAUCAUGGACACUGAGAAAUGAGGCUUUUACAAUUGACUUAACAAUUUCACCCAUAUUGUUAUGCUGUGAGAAAUGUUCCUCAGUACAACUGUGUGUCUCAAUUAUAUGAAUCUAUUCUUCAGAUUUAAAACCAACUGAAUUAAAGCAACCAUUGAGCACAUGCAACCUUGUUUGAUAAAGUAUAUUUGAAAAGCAAAUGCUUCUCCUCACCUAUGCACAGCUCCAGUUGCCAAAAAGAAUUCGUCAGUGAGAAGGAAAAUGCAAUUUGUCAUAAAUGACUUACACCAGUCACCAAAUGCUUCAGGUAAAUGAAAAGGAACACUACAAGAAGCAAAUACAACAGGUCUGCACUGCCACAUAAGAUUUAUUUGAAAAUUUUAUGGGCAUUGAAAAUCUCAUUUAAAAAAUAAAUCAUUAUCAUUGUAAUCCAUAUCAA